rnacentral:rRNA from 1 species
AGUGAACGCUGGCGGUAUGCUUAACACAUGCAAGUCGAACGGCAGCACGGUAAGAGCGUGUCCUUAUGGGUGGCGAAAAGCGGCUGGGACAGGAACAUAUCGGGAUCUACUUUUUCGUGGGGAAUAACGAAGGGAGAGUUACACUACUACCGCAGACGCCAUGGGGAGGAAAGGGGUGGAUCUUUGGAGCGUGCGGGCUUGAACGAGCCGCUGGCGGAUUAGCUAGUUGGCGGGGUGAAGGCCCACCAAGGCGACGGUCCGUGGCGGGUCUGAGAGGAUGAUCAGCAACACUGGAACUGAGCCACGGUCCAGCCUCCUACGGGAGGCAGCAGUGGUGAAUAUUGGUGAAGGGGCGCAAGGCUGAGCCAGGCAUACCGCGUGGGUGAAGAAGGCCUUCGGGUUGUAAAGCCCUUUUGUUGGGAAAGAAAAGCAGAAGGUUAAUCCCCCGCUGUUCUGGCGGUACCCAAAGAAUAAGCACCGGCUAACUUCGUG